GAUAAACGCUGGCGGCGUGCCUAAUACAUGCAAGUCGAGCGAACGGACGAGAAGCUUGCUUCUCUGAUGUUAGCGGCGGACGGGUGAGUAACACGUGGAUAACCUACCUAUAAGACUGGGAUAACUUCGGGAAACCGGAGCUAAUACCGGAUAAUAUUUUGAACCGCAUGGUUCAAAAGUGAAAGACGGUCUUGCUGUCACUUAUAGAUGGAUCCGCGCUGCAUUAGCUAGUUGGUAAGGUAACGGCUUACCAAGGCAACGAUGCAUAGCCGACCUGAGAGGGUGAUCGGCCACACUGGAACUGAGACACGGUCCAGACUCCUACGGGAGGCAGCAGUAGGGAAUCUUCCGCAAUGGGCGAAAGCCUGACGGAGCAACGCCGCGUGAGUGAUGAAGGUCUUCGGAUCGUAAAACUCUGUUAUUAGGGAAGAACAUAUGUGUAAGUAACUGUGCACAUCUUGACGGUACCUAAUCAGAAAGCCACGGCUAACUACGUGCCAGCAGCCGCGGUAAUACGUAGGUGGCAAGCGUUAUCCGGAAUUAUUGGGCGUAAAGCGCGCGUAGGCGGUUUUUUAAGUCUGAUGUGAAAGCCCACGGCUCAACCGUGGAGGGUCAUUGGAAACUGGAAAACUUGAGUGCAGAAGAGGAAAGUGGAAUUCCAUGUGUAGCGGUGAAAUGCGCAGAGAUGUGGAGGAACACCAGUGGCGAAGGCGACUUUCUGGUCUGUAACUGACGCUGAUGUGCGAAAGCGUGGGGAUCAAACAGGAUUAGAUACCCUGGUAGUCCACGCCGUAAACGAUGAGUGCUAAGUGUUAGGGGGUUUCCGCCCCUUAGUGCUGCAGCUAACGCAUUAAGCACUCCGCCUGGGGAGUACGACCGCAAGGUUGAAACUCAAAGGAAUUGACGGGGACCCGCACAAGCGGUGGAGCAUGUGGUUUAAUUCGAAGCAACGCGAAGAACCUUACCAAAUCUUGACAUCCUUUGACAACUCUAGAGAUAGAGCCUUCCCCUUCGGGGGACAAAGUGACAGGUGGUGCAUGGUUGUCGUCAGCUCGUGUCGUGAGAUGUUGGGCUAAGUCCCGCAACGAGCGCAACCCUUAAGCUUAGUUGCCAUCAUUAAGUUGGGCACUCUAAGUUGACUGCCGGUGACAAACCGGAGGAAGGUGGGGAUGACGUCAAAUCAUCAUGCCCCUUAUGAUUUGGGCUACACACGUGCUACAAUGGACAAUACAAAGGGCAGCGAAACCGCGAGGUCAAGCAAAUCCCAUAAAGUUGUUCUCAGUUCGGAUUGUAGUCUGCAACUCGACUACAUGAAGCUGGAAUCGCUAGUAAUCGUAGAUCAGCAUGCUACGGUGAAUACGUUCCCGGGUCU
rnacentral:rRNA from 1 species